CCCUUGGGCCCGCCCCUGUGACGCUCCCCUCCGUCCGGGAUUGGCUGAGCAGUGGGGGCGGGGCUAAGACGGCUCCUAGUCUAGCAGCGAAGCUCUGCUGUCGGGAGCCGGACCCGUGUGGAUAGGUUGGAUAAUCAACAACAAUCUCGAUCUUUGCAGCUGGGAGCGAAUACACGAAGGAAACCUGGGACAAAUUAAUUGCUCCUGGAGUUAAAACAGCCUAGGGCUGGGCUCUGCUGCUCCCUGGUGGUGUGCUGUAGUUACUGCACCGUGGGCCAGCUGCCCCUGUCUCUCUUCAGGGCAUAAUCGCCACUGUUUAUGCACAAGGGUUUAAAUAGGUGACAAAACUACUUCCGCCUGGGCACGCAGGUGUGGGUGGGUAAUCACUUAUAAUUGACUAAGCAGUCAUUGUUGGUGUCCUCUUGAGUUCUUGUAGUAAGAGGGAAUUACUAUGUCCAGGGCUAUUGUUUUCAUUUUCCUAUUGCUGGGACUGUUAAAAAAGGGCGUGGCGAUAGGGGGGAGGGCUGUUUUGUGGCAACUUGAAAUGGCAUAUGGUAAUUACAGUCAACAUCAUAAGAGCUAACAAUAACUGAGCAGUUGAUUCGUGGUAUGUAUUUGUGCAAGCACUUUUAAUAUGUUAAUGAAUUGUCACAAGAUAGGUGGUCAAAGCAACCCCAUUUCAGAGAUGAGAAAACUGAGUUACCGAGGAGGAUAAGGUUCUCUAGAAUCUUCAACAGCACAAUGCUUUCCUACAAUCAAACAGGAAAUGCCAUCCUGGUCACACAACUGCCCCCCCCUUCCAAACACCGCCUUGUUUAAAACCCUGGGUAUUUUCUUAAUUUUAUUCUCAGUUCAGACACCUCCUUAUUUAAGGUCCUGCUCCCUCAGCCACUCUAGCCUGGGUCAGACAGGGUUUAUCAGUAUUGUUCUUGCGGUGUGUGUGCAGACCUCUGUCCUGAGCUGUGUCUCCCCUAGGCUCACAGCAGUGCGUGUUGGUCUUUUGAACGAGGUACCGGCGAAUCUGACUGCAGGUAAUUGUGGGAAUUAUUGUGUUAACCUUGUAUCGGGCCCUGUCCAUAUUGUGUGCUUUCUCCAGUAACCAAAUGUGGAUGCUAUUUUUGUAUCCCUUUCGUCCUCCAGGGACCCGAGGCCUAGAGAGGUUGGUCAGCUUGGCCAAGGACACAUUGACCUCAGCGCACAGCACCUGGCCGUGAAGAUGCUCUUCCCUCCUUUGCUUCUAGAGUCAUUAGGAAAUAAAAAUUAAACCUGGUGUGAAGAAGUCUGUGACUUCGCCUGGAAGAAGGACGGCAAAUGAGUGGAGUGAGGCUGAUAAAUGCUUUGAUUCAGCGGUUAAUGAAGCAAGGAUCCAAGGGACUGGUAGGUCUUUGAAGAAGAGAAAACCUGAACAUAGAGUCUAAGAGGAAUCUAGGAGCUUCUGCUAUAAAAGAGCCCACUGGUUACAAAGUGAGUACUUUCAGCUCUAUUUAUUAGUGAAUAUUUUUGAGAAGACCCCCCCCCCCCCGUGCCUCAAUAACAUUAUUCCCGUGAGAGCUCCUCAUCCUGAUUCUAGUGCAGGUGUUUCCUAAAUCUCAUCAGCCCCCUUCUUCCAUUUUUAAAUCUGUGCUAUAGCCUAGGAUGCAUUCUGGAAGCUAGGUUACUAUUUUAAAGUCUUAUAUCCAUGACCAUGGUUAAGUAUAGAAGUGAUGUGGCCUACUCUGACUUACGUGGAUUACUCUUCUACUUCUAAUUUUGAAUUAGGGUUGAAGGUUCUUCAGUCUGAGAAGAGCUGAAAGGUGGGGAGAGUGAACUCUUUUGAUUCCUGGUUCAAGUUCUUUAUAAGCAACAUCCUUUCAGAUUUAUGCUAUGUUGUACUGAAAAAAAAUUAACUGAGGAUUCCUAUAUGGUUUCCUCUUCCAUGGCAUUCUGCUCUUCUGAUGCUUAAAUGAGCAGGUUUUAGGCAAGCGAUUGUAUGUUGCUGAAUUUUAGGAGCCUUUUAGAAAGCACAGUUUCCAUGUCAGAAUCUAGUUUAAGUUUUUGGUAUAGGAUACACAGUCUUCUGGGGGAGAAAAAACACCAGGGUUGCAGCAGUGGCAUGACUGUUAAGAGAUGACCAAUUACUUUCUGAUUGAAUUUGGGGCUUGUUUCAAAGGACAGAAAACCUGGUCAAAGGCCCUGACUGGGGAGGUCAUGGGCCCUGACUGGGGAGGUCAUGGCCCCUGACUGGGGAGGUCAUGGGCCCUGACUGGGGAGGUCAUGGCCCUGACUAGGGAGGUCAUGGGCCCUGACUGGGGAGGUCAUGGGCCCUGACUAGGGAGGUCAUGGGUCCUGACUGGGGAGGUCAUGGGCCCUGACUGGGGAGGUCAUGGGCCCUGACUGGGGACAUGCUGCUGUUGUUUUGUUAUAUGAUCAUGUUGUCAAACUUCCAUCUACAUACUUUUGUGUACAUAGUCCUGUGCUGCUCUUGACUUUGGUUAGAGAAGUGUCUUUUUGCUGGAGCCAGUGGUUAAUGCAGAGAUUUAUAACUGGUCAAAAUGUUAAGAAUAAAUGACCUUGAGUAUUCAGUACCAAACAGGACAGUUGUAUCAUAUCCACGGGGCUCAUAGAACAGUGCAGAAGAGGGAGCAAGAAACAAUGUAGAAACCAGAGGUUAGGGAGAAGAGCUGUGAAAUGUCUUUUGGACAUGACAUGGCCAUUGCAUUCCCAAACCAGCAUCAGCUGUGGCUGCCUGCAUGAGACCUGAACAAGACUGAUCUAACCAAAUUUCCAGUAUGUAUUGGUUAGGGGCUUAUGAGACUCUGUUCUUAUAUAAGGAGCUAUCGGCAGUUGAUAACUUCUGGUGGAGGCAGAAUCAUUUUUGGGCUGUGUGGCCACUGGUAGAUUAACCAUAAUCUAGUGAAUGGUCCCACAUAUCACACCUAUAUGUAUACUUGUGAAUAUUGACAGUACUAAUUAGACUCAGUGACUCUCUCUCUCUCUCUCUCUCUGUCUCUCUCUCUCUCGUAUAAAGAGAACAUGAAGUUAAGAGAGUGGCAUUUUGAAUGGGAAAGUUAGUGGGGAGUUGAAGGGGAAAAGUGGGGUAUAUAUAAUCAAAAUACACUGUAUACAUAUGAAAAAUUAAAAGUGCCACAAAAACCAGAAAAUCUCAUAUAAAUGAUCUUGUUGGGUUUAAAAUCUCUCUGCGAAAAAUUUUCAGUGCCAAAUUUUUGCCUAGCACCCCUUGUCAUGAGACGAUCUCCUCCCAUUCUUCAAAAGCAUGUGAAACAUAAAAGGUGUUAUGGGAAAAGUAUGACUUAGGGCACACCACUCCAAAUUAAAUCAGUUUCAAAACCACUGAGUAUCUUAGUAUAAAAAUUAGAAAUAAAUUAAGUUACAGUGCACUAAAUACUGAGUCUUAACUUCAAAAGAAAGCUUAACUUAAAAAUCCCCUCCUUAGUAGAAAGUUGUGAUAACACACGGAGAUAAGACAAGUGCAUCAACACGAAGCGGGCUGGGAUGUAUCCCAGCAGUAAAGCCUAGUGUAAGGAAGACCCCAGGUCCUGAGUACCACUAAAGCAAAGCAAACCAAAAUCACACGAAGAUGACAAAGGAUAGCACAGCAGAUCCUUCUAAGAUGGAGCAUGUGGCCAUAUGGGAUGAGAGGAAGAGAUAUUUAACGUCAAUUCCAACAACGUGCCGGAUUCCGCCUUGUUGUGUACUCUGGUUAACUGAUGGUACUUGGUGGCAGAGUACAUACUCAGUGGUCAAAAGAAACAAGGAUACUGUUUCUGCAUUGCCCUGGUAUUGUGUUCCUUACCAAUCCCAACUAAAGUAGCUCAUGUUUCAGAAAGCAAGCUCUGUAUCCGAACUGACUCUACUAACAGACAGCGGCGGUGCUGGAAUUUAUGUCAAGUGGGGAUUCUGCUAGAAGUCUGAUUAUUGAUGCCAUGUUUGAAUAGUAAAGACAUUUUAUUUGUUUAGUUUUGAUUUAAAUUGAAUCAUCCCUUCUGAAGCAGGUUCUGGCUUUGUCAGUUACAUUAAGAUAAUAAUAUGGCAGAAGGAGAUAUUGCUCAGAGGUGACCUGAAUCAUUCAGAAGCUGAUGAGGUGAUUUCUUACAGAUAUAUUUGGCCAUGCAGAACUAAGGUGAAGAUUGAUCAACAGCAGAUUCAAUUCAGAAAUCUGCUUAGGGAGAUUAUCAAGAUGUAACAAUUGCGAGAGUCUGGGAGAAAACUUUCCCAGGCGUGUUUCUCUGGCCUGAACAAUUUUUCAGUAGAGGGCUGCAGCAACGGCCUCUGGGUCCAGAACCAAUCACCCCUUCUCUAAACAUGCCGCCGAGACUGUGCCACAGGAUGAGAGACCUCAGGGGCGUCAGAAACAAUGGCUCAAAGGGACAGCUGGGAAUCAAGAGCUUUUGAUUAUGCAGAAAGAAGAAAGACACACCAGGUGCAGAAAGAAUGCUGUGACAAUCUUAUGUGCUCCAAUCAAUUCUUAGAACUUUUUAAAGGUAGGGCUUAUUCAACUCCAUUAGACUUGAAGAAGCCACGCCUCCCUUUGUGAACAAGGUCAAGUCUUGGAUGCGGAAGUAAUCUGGACUCACUAUGACAAUGUAAUACAACUCCCUGGUUGAGAUAGGUAGAAUUAGAACAGAAGGGGAUAAAUUCAUAGUAUAUUAUUUUUAAACUCACAAGGGCAAGGACAUCUGAUUUUAAACUUUAAUUCAUUUGCAUUUUACUUACAAGGGAGUUUAAUAUUUGUAUUUUAAUUUCAUUUUAGAAAUGUAAUAAUGAAAAGCUAGAGUUGGGGCAUCUAUAUAUUGUUCCACAUUGGUUAUUGAUGUCGUUUGGUUUCAAUGCAGAAAUUUGAUGGGGCAACAUUGGGAAAUAUGACUCAGGUGAAUUUGGAUUGAGAAUAGAUUAGGGAGUGAAUUUUAGAUUUAGUUCUGGCAUCGUUUGACAGUUAAUUGAUGUAUCAGGACAAUCUUUGCACUGACUUUCAACAUUCAUGGAAGAUUCCUGGACCUUGAGAGUUUGUUUGGAGGAUCUUACAGAAGAGUUCAGCUUCUUGUAGACCCUUGAAUGAAGAAUGAUCCUCUCUUGGAGGAGAAGGUCAUCGUUUUUGAUGGUGAGCAGCUCAGCUGCAGGAGGAAUGUGCAAGGAGCAAUGAGGAAGGAAGAAGACGCUGGCCUAGUCUGCAGGACCAGCCUGGGUGAUGGGCGGUGUGACAUGUAUAACCAGGUCAUUGUCAUACCUGUUGUUGGAGAAUUCAUUUAUCAAGGUACACUGCUGAUUGCCAUCUUUGAUGAUUCUGGAAUCAUUGUUCAGGAAUGAUGGACACAAAGAACAAAAGUAGACCUGUUUUAGGUGAGCUGUUUACACCCUCUUCCUGUAUGGGACAAAUCCGAGUGAAAGAGAGGUUCCUGGCCAUGACUCUUUACACGAAUUCUUCCUGAUCGGGUGGCCACUUCUUAACUCUGGCACAACACUGGGGAGAGUAGUCAGCAGGCCACUGGAAAGUGUGACUCCCUAUUGAUAACUUUAUGAUAAAAAACUCAGUGUCCCUUUUUCUCUUUCUCUUUUGUUGGUGUGUGUGUGUGUUAAGGAUCUUGUUCUAGCCUGCUGAUAGCAUAUUUUUGGAUCUGCUCUUGGUCACAAGAUGACCUUGGCAGUGAAUCUCUACACCCGUGACACGGCACCUGUCUGGCUCGGCAUGACCUGGGGUGGGUGACUAAAUCUGUCUGUAUCUGGGGACCAGUGCUAAGCUUUUUUUCCCCCCUAACCUAGUCUCUUUAAGCUUUAAAAUCAGUAUUUUCAACUCCAUGGUUCUGACUUUUCUUACUGGUUCAACUCAAAGAACAAGGAGAAAGCAUUCUGGAAAGGCUCACAAACCCCAGUGUCCAUGGUUCCCCUCUUGAGUGCCUGGGAAUUUGUAUGAACUUACAGUAUUCUAACACUGUCUUAAAAUACUACUGUUUUAAAAGAACUGUAUUUUUUAUUUUGAAAAAUGGUCCUGUCAAGAAUUAGAAAUUUAUAGCACAUAUGCCUAAAUAUAUUUUAAAACAAUGCUCACAUAAUUAAAAAAAAAUAGUCUUCUCUCCUGUCCCAGAUACAAGUAUGAUCAUGAAAUUUCACUGCCUUUUAUACAUGUGUUUUUUGGAGGCUGUAACAUCUUUUCUUUACAUGUUUUGGAAUAAUUUUAUGGAUUUAUAAAUAUGUUGAAAACACAACACAAAGAAUUCCUCGGUGUCCUUCAUCCAGUAUUAACGUCUCAUGUGGUCAUGGUCAUUUGUCAGAACUGAGAACAGCAUUGGUGGGCACGAGUAACUAAACUCCAGGCUCUUCUCGCAUCGCUGCCGGUUUUAUAUCAACGUUCGUUUCCUGUUUAAGAAUUCAGCCCGGGACACUGCAGCACAUUUAGUCUCUGUGUCUUUUUAGUCUCCUUUGGCCUGUGACAGCGUCUCAUUCUUUCGCUGUUUUUCAUGACCUUGACAAUAGUGAGAAGUCCUGGUUGGAUAUUUUACAGAAAGUCUCAAUUUGGAUUUGUCUGAGGGAUUUCUCCUUUGCGGACUGAUGCUAUGGGUGUUUGAGAUGAAUUAUUCACUGUUUUUAAUACUUAAAAACACAACAGAUAAAUAUAUUUACAUAUGCUACCCAAUAUUGUUUUGAAUUUUAAAAGUAUGAGAUACCAUAUUUGCAGUUUUUUUGAGAGCUCGCUUUUUAUCUCGGAAAUUGUUUUUGGGCACUGCCUGUUUAAAAACACAUUUCUUUUGCUAUAGUGUAACAUAUGCAUUCCUGAAGAAUCUUCAUGCUCUGCAUGAUUUGUGCACUAAAAAUAACAGGGACUGUAAGAUAAUUAGGCCCGUAGAUAAUUAGAGGCAGACCAUUCAAAACCUAUGCAGUAACAUAGCAAGAGGACUAACAUGAACAGUAACAAUCCAUGCCAUUAUCAGCACAGCGAAGCCUUCUCCCACACUUCCACCAGCCUCACAAUUAGUCCCGCUUUUAUAGCCUUCAGUCCAGAGGCCCCAAUGACCUUUGAGAUACGUUUCUGCGAGGGCGAUCAUUUUCAGCAGGGACUGGACUCAUGGAAACUUAAAAUCUCAUUUGGAGUGUAGCUUCUCCAGUCAUCAAUAAAAUUCUGUGUUGCAUAGAAAUUCUUGGCCGUGUCUUCAUCAGCUCUUGCCGCAUCACAAUAUACUUUAGUACUGUGGAAUGCAUAGUGAUGUUUGAAGCCACUAUAAACCAUCUCCUGCAUGUACUCACAGUGCUGAGACAGGAUUCUCAGCAUCUUCAUUAAGAUCGUCACACUUUACAAGGAAUUUUUCUUUGCUUGUGAGAAAAAUGUAGUCUUUAUUGCUUCACCAUUAACCUGCUGGGGAAGAUGACUUAUGAAUGAGUAUAACCUCUAUGUUAUAUUGACACUAUUCUUAAUUUACGUAAAGCAUCAAUUUACAUAUUGAAAUGAGGGACGGCCUAAUUUGCAUCCAGACAUUUGAUUUGUGACUGAACAGGAUGUGUACAGAUCUUCUUCUUGCCUUUUAACCGAGGCAAACAAUUCUAUCAUAUGGAAAAAGCAUUUCUCACAUGGAAACUAGCAUUCCUUCAUUUUUUUUUUGCCCCUGAAAACAAACAGUGUUGCAAAGAGUUUUCCUGUGCAUGUCAUUGAGGGAGUUUUCCAGAGGUUAUGUUGAUAUAGGUAAGAUAGUUGGGCUGUAGGAUAUGGGCAUUAUUAAUGCAACAUAUGUAUCAAAUUGGAGAGUGACAAUGCCAUCGUGAUAUUAGAGCAUUCAGUGAAUGUGGUUACAGUCCCAUUCGUUAAUUUUAUAUUCUUAGCUGCUUUAUGCUUUAAGUAAAAAUGUUGCCCAUUUUCUGUUUGACCUCUCUCUAUGUGCUCUUUAGGUUUUAGUAAUGCCGUGGCUCGCAUCUUAUAUGUUAUAUAUCCUAACUGAUUACUUCUAGGGGGAAAAGAACAUUUUAAAUGUGUUUUAUGGUUAUUUUAUAUCAAUACAAAUAUUAA